ACACUGAACAUUGAGCCUUGAUGUGUAGGAUAGGUGGGAGGCUUUGAAGUGUGGACGCCAGUCUGCAUGGAGCCGACCUUGAAAUACCACCCUUUAAUGUUUGAUGUUCUAACGUGGACCCGUAAUCCGGGUUGCGGACAGUGUCUGGUGGGUAGUUUGACUGGGGCGGUCUCCUCCUAAAGAGUAACGGAGGAGCACGAAGGUUGGCUAAUCCUGGUCGGACAUCAGGAG
rnacentral:rRNA from 1 species